AAAGAAAGAAGAGGAAGAAGAGUUUGAAAGGGUU
rnacentral:sRNA from 1 species